rnacentral:lncRNA from 1 species
AGAGAAGUUUAUUAUUAGUAAAAGAUGAAGUGAGCUAGAAGCAGAAAUGGGACGGAGAGUAUGGGUGGGCAACGGCCAAAUCCAAACACCAAGAGGGGUACUUAUUUGGCUGCGUUCCUCUAUAGUUUAAUCUGGGAAGGAGCCAUAGCCUAAUUGGAGACCGUGAACAUCAGCCUACGCUGAGUCACCAGGCAGCGCCGCACAAAUGGGCUAGGGCUUCCCCUUUCCGCGAUUCCUGUCCCUACUCUUUCCCACUCUCUUUCUUCUCUUUGCACAUACUUUUCUUCUCGCCUCUCCUUCGGAUCUGCGUUAAUGAAAAUAUUUUAUCUUGUACAAGUUUAUAAAGCCUACGGUAGUAAAUUCAGGCGUCCCAGGGCUCAAGGACUGCACUCUUGCGGAUUUCUCUGCCGGGUCUGGUGCUGCAGAUGCAAACCCAGGCCCCGUGAACAAAGCGAUCCGGAGCUGCAAUUCCUCCCUGCUCACUCCUGUGGCUGACUUGCACGCACAGACAUCGCCUCCCCACUUGUUGGCGACUGUUUUCCAUUCUUCCCCCAACAAUUCGUCCUUCUCAAUUCCGAUUAGCUGAGACUGAAGCCCUCUACAAAGGACCUGUGCAGCCCACGGAACAACUCCGCAGUUCUCAGGUAGAAGAAUCAGAAUCAGGUCUGAGCCCGCGGAGUAUCUCUUUAAGCGCUGAUUUUUUAAAAUCAAUGAUCGUUUCUCAUUGGGGCUCCAGGGAGGUGCUCGGUUUCUGGAGUGUCAAAUGAGAGUAUACUCCCAGGCUUGUUAUACUGAAAAGGACAUCAGGCCAUCUAUUGGCAAAUAAUUACUCACAACACGGGAGGUACCUGUCAGCAGGGCGUGCUGUAUAUUGAAUUCCCUAUACGAAGAAGCAGAGAUAUCAAUUGAGGAAAGCCAGCUUGGGGAUGAUAUAAAAACCAUCAGAUUAAGAUCUGGACCAUGCAAAUGUCAAAAACACACCAAUUAAACUUGCUUUUGAGAAAAAAUUCCAAGUGCUUGCUGAUUUAUUUUCCAUCAAAAUAUUCAAUUUAUUUCAUUUAACACGUUUGAAACCACAUUUUGAUUGCAAUAAUAAUGUAAUACUACAUACUCAGUAUUAUCAAUGGAUAUCAAGUACUAUCAACUACCAAAACAUCUUCCCUUCACCUUCAAAGUGAUUAAAAAAAAAUCACUCUAAUUUUCUACCUGUAGCACCCUGUUAUCUUUAAAUUUACAUUUAAUUUUGUAGAUUUUAAGAGUCAGAGCUCUCUUGUUUCAGUUUAUUUGGAGAAAUUUGUGAAGCAAGUUAUCUAAAUGGUCUUGGUCAAAAAUGGGUUCAAACAAAUAAAUACCCUGAAAGUAGGCAGGUGCCUACAGGUAAGUUCGCUGUGAGUUCGCUUCAAGAAAACCAUCUUUAGAUUUCCAUCGUGGAGGCAUAGGGAAACACUCAAGAUUGGUCUCCACUUUGUUGUAGAAGAAUGAAACGGAUUUGAGGGGAGAAUAAUGUAAAAUUACAGCAAAUGUUCCCUACCCAGGCAGAAGUUUUAUUUGGUUGUGUUUUGAAUUUCCCCUUUGCGAUCAAUCGAGUGGUCGCCAGUAUU